rnacentral:rRNA from 1 species
ACGCUGGCGGCAGGCCUAACACAUGCAAGUCGAGCGGCAGCACAGGUACUUGUACCGGGUGGCGAGCGGCGGACGGGUGAGUAAUGCCUAGGAAUCUGCCUGGUAGUGGGGGGUAACGCUCGGAAACGGACGCUAAUACCGCAUACGUCCUACGGGAGAAAGCAGGGGACCUUCGGGCCUUGCGCUAUCAGAUGAGCCUAGGUCGGAUUAGCUAGUUGGUGGGGUAAUGGCUCACCAAGGCGACGAUCCGUAACUGGUCUGAGAGGAUGAUCAGUCACACUGGAACUGAGACACGGUCCAGACUCCUACGGGAGGCAGCAGUGGGGAAUAUUGGACAAUGGGCGAAAGCCUGAUCCAGCCACGCCGCGUGUGUGAAGAAGGUCUUCGGAUUGUAAAGCACUUUAAGUUGGGAGGAAGGGCAGUUGCCUAAUACGUAACUGUUUUGACGUUACCGACAGAAUAAGCACCGGCUAACUCUGUGCCAGCAGCCGCGGUAAUACAGAGGGUGCAAGCGUUAAUCGGAAUUACUGGGCGUAAAGCGCGCGUAGGUGGUUUGUUAAGUUGGAUGUGAAAUCCCCGGGCUCAACCUGGGAACUGCAUUCAAAACUGACUGACUAGAGUAUGGUAGAGGGUGGUGGAAUUUCCUGUGUAGCGGUGAAAUGCGUAGAUAUAGGAAGGAACACCAGUGGCGAAGGCGACCACCUGGACUGAUACUGACACUGAGGUGCGAAAGCGUGGGGAGCAAAC